AUUCAAAGAAUACAAUACGGAAAUUUUCUAGAUAAAAAUCCAUAACCUCAGUCAGAGUUCUUUUUAAUUCACCAAGCUCAAGAUUCUUGGAAACAGAAGAAAGCAAGGCCAGCCAUGGGCUGCAGGUGCCAGCUCAGCUACUGAUAGCCAGGGUCGGGGGUGGCAAGAUGAGCCCACCGGCUCAGCAGAAAGGAGCCAGAGUGAGCUCUGAGGACAGAAGCUUAUGUCCCUUUGUUAUAUCCAUCAGGGUAACCACUUCAAACCUGUCCAUGGAGCAGAUAAUCAAUCAAUACAAAUUAAUGAAUAAUGUGCUUACUAAAGAGAAAAGGACAAGAAGCAGAGGUUAAUUUCAAAGGUCACCCGAUUUCAGAUUCCUAAUGAGAAUUCACUGAAUCUUUAUCUUUUGGGUUUCACCUUUUCCAAGUACAUGAUUGAGAUGCCAAGUACAAGCUGAACAGUCUGCUAACAAUCUGAAAAGAAAAUAUAUUACAGUGAUUGUACAGGGAAACUGGAAGCAAUUUUCUCCCGGGUUGGAGGUUUAAACAAACAGGAAGCCCUGUUUAGGAUUUGUCUUCAUCAUCUUUCAUCACAAGUCAGCCUGACUUCCUGGUGAAAAAAUGUGGAACUGCUUUCAUAUACUCAACCAAAUGGGACAGAAAUGCCAACCUGACAAUCUCCAACUUUAAGUUCAAAGUUACUAUUUCUGAACACCCCAUCUCCAUCAGACCACAACUCUCUCAGUGAAAUUUUGCCUUUUAGUCUCUGUGAGCAGUGGGCAGAAAAAUGAGUCUUUGUUGCUAUCUAACCUCAUAGUUAAAGGAUCUCAUUUUAUUUCUACCACUGAACAUGGAGAGGGUAUGAAAAACAAACUGUAUAGGAGAGAAUAAUAAUUAAUAAUCAUGAGCCCCUAACAGUGUUUCUUCUCAGCAUUACAAGGUAGUUUUCUGUAACUAUUUGAAAAAGCAGUAUUUAUGAAAUGAAACUUUGAUUUUUUACCAAAAUCUCAAAGUCAUUUCAGGAUGGAAAGUGCAUGACACCUCACAGUUUGACUCUAAUGAGUAUAUCUAAAAUACACUUUUUGAAAUAUGCAAUUCCUUAAACUUCAAAUUUCAUGAAACUAUUUAGGUUAAACUAUCAUUACUAAAAUAACAAAUACUUCAGUUUUCAAGAGAAAGUAAAACUUGAGGACUUUUAAUUCAAAUAAAUAAUUUUCUACAAAAACCCAAAAUGAACUGAUAAUUCUCCGACAUGAAGAAGCAAAUGCCAAAAUCUUCAUCUGACAUUCCAGAUGAUACAAACUACAAAAUGACUAGUAUUUUAUCUAAUUAAAAAGGAAAAAUACAAAGUUGAGACUCUUAUGACUCUAAAACUAUAAUAAAUUAUCAAUUAACACAGAAUAGUAGAUAUACUUUUAUUUCACUUGAUGAGUUUGCAAGACCUAUUCUCAAAUAUUUCUCAUAUUUUGAAAUAUGACUUAUUUCAAGGUUCUUCUUAUAGUAUUCUUAAAAACCUUAGAUUAAUAAAAGCAAGGAAGAGAGAGAAACCAAGAACAGAUUGACCAAAUAUGAUCUGUACCAUACUAAUAACAAUAAACAUCUGUGAUUUAAAUAUAUCCUGACUCAAAUUCUAGAAGUAAUUGAUUAACGCUGAAGCCCAGAAGAAGACAAGGCAGGCAGCUAACUACCACAUCACAAACAUUCCGGAUGUUUCUGAACUCACAGUUCUCUCCCCAUAUAUCAGCCUAUGACAACCACCCUUCAGUCUUUUGUUCUGCCUUUCAAAAUUGCAUAUUUGAUAUUUGGUUAAAAAAAAAAGAAGCAGAGUAGAAAGAGGAAAAUAAACUUGAACAAAGACAUAUUGUUUGUUUUCUGUCCAAGAAAAUGAAAUGUGCAUUUGUUGAGAACCAUAUGAAUGAGUUUCCUUAGAAUGAUGCAAACCCUGUGAAAAAAAAAAAUCACAAGAGUCAUCACCAUUGGUGGUGGGAUGCUGAGCUUCCCACAGGGAGCAGCUCAGGUAAUUGCUUGUUUGUUUUUGUUCUGAGCGGCAUUCUAUUAUGUGCCUAUGGGUUCCUUCUAUGAGAAAAUUUCCUGCAUGGCCCAUUUUGUUUCAGCAUUUCAUAGGCAUUUAUCUCAUGUAUUUAGAAAGUCCGUCAUUUUAAUAAGUGUUGUGUAGAAGAGAUGACUAAAUGGGAAAUACAAGUUGUUGGCAAACAAGCUGUAUUACAACAUAAGAAAAUAUCUACAAAUAAUGUAAAGCUAUGAACUUCACAUUAAAAAAUACAGUUACUUCUGGAAUAAGACCACAAAUCAGAGAACGAUUGGAUUAUCUGGCUGGUUAAGUUGUCAGGAAGGAAUUCCAAUGUUGAGGCCACUAUUAGACAAGCCCUUUGAAAGGAAGUAAAGAUUUCCACAUCACUACCCCCAUCCCCAUGAAUCCCGGUGAGGUUAGUUUAAGAGUUCUACAAAUACUUCUGGCUCACAUACACUGCACCACACGCCAUGCUCCCUGGUGGGGAUACAGACAUGAAUAUUAUCUGCUGUCUGCUGUCACAGAAUUUAGUCCAGGCAGAAAAAAAGACCCAUAAACAGAUCAUUCCAAAUUAAGAAAGGACAUAAUGACAGUUAUUUCCUGCAGACAGUGGCGUCCAGGGAAAAGGAGGGCACUUGGUCCAGUAAGAAGGGAAAGGGUGUCCUGGAAAGCUUCCCUGAGGACACAAACUUGGGCUGAACUUUGAAAGAUGGGGUGGAGAUGUGCAGGCAGCGAGGUGAAGAUGGGCAGAGGGAACUUCUAAGUUAGGAAAGAGUAUGAGCAAAGACAUGUAGGUUCAAAGCAGGGUGGGAAGUGCCAGCAACUGCAAGCCAUUUAGUAUUACUGGGGUACACAUUUAAAAUAUACCAGGGCACAAACUUAAAAAUUUAAGGCCAGAGAGACUACAAGGGCCCAGGUCUCAGAAAACACGUCUACCAUGUUGAGGGGCUUGGAUGGUGUUCAAUGAGUACUGGGAGCACCUGGAAAACAAAACCCCUCCAAGUCCCUUCGCUGUCCCUCCUUUGUCACCAGCACUCAGGACAGUCAUAAGUGAGCACCUCAGAAAGCAGUGGGGUGUUCCAGUCGGGGUGGAGAAGAGAGGCACCAGAUUUUUCUUUCCCUUCUGGUUGCCAUCUCUGAAUUAAUGUUACCUCUGCUCUCUUUGCAACCUCACUGAAUGGAACAUAGGGUAUUCAGGACACAGAACAGAAGGCUAAUGAGAAUCACGAACAAGCAAUAUUAAAAGAAAUGUUCAUUCUAAUACAAGUCAAAGGGAAAAUAUAUCGAUAGCUAGAAACCAGAGAAAAAAAGACUAAGCAGGAGUAAAGGAGCAGGCAUGUAUAGAGGGACACAGAAAAAUAUGCAAAGAAUGAGAUGGUGUAAGUCCAGGAUCACAAAGGAGGACACGUGCAUCACUGUGAGAGAGCACACCUAGGUUGGUUUCACAUGCAAAAUAUUGUUUUGAUGCUUACAUAAGUGAUUUCCACACAUAUUGUAGGAGGUGCAGUUACAGGGAGACCUAUUCUAAAACCUUGCAUGGCAACUAGUCCCACUGUUUUAAAAGCUAUACUCUAUACCCACAUAUAGAAACUAAAUUAACCAGGAGAGGAAAACCAAAUGUAUUUGGAAAAGCUGAGUGAGGGUGCUGAGCUGAGAAAAAGGAAAACAUAAGAAGGCACACUUAACAAAAGAGAAGAAACACAAACCCCAGCUGUGAUCGUCAGCGAUCUUCAGUGAAGGCUCUGUAUGUGCUGCUCUGGGUAGCAUGGUAAGGACCUUAAUCACAUCUCAUCUAUCCCCAAACAGUCCUCUUAUUAUUUUGCCAACUUUACAAGUGAGAAAACUGAGGCCUAGAGAGGCUGAGCAGCAGAGUUGCUACACUGAACCCAUGCAGGUAAUAAAUGGCAGAAUUGGAACUGGAAUCCAGGGAGCCAGAAUCUAGGCCCCCUGAGUGGGAAGAGUUUGCUCUACUAAAGAGAACAAUUCCAGGUUGAAACCAUGCAUACAAAGAAACAAUCCAACCACCAAAAAAGAAUCUAAGGAAAGCUUCCCUCACAAAUGUCAUGAAAAAAGAAAAAAAUAAAAAACUAGUUGUAACACUCUUCAGAAUGUCUGUUAAAAAAUACUGACAUUAGUGCUGUUUUCCACCAUGCUCCAAGUGUAGUACCAUGAGUUAUGAGGCAUAAAUAGCCUGUUACUAAUAACAAAGCAUCUUGGUUUAUAAAUGAAAAUUUCAUAGGGAAAAACAAUUUUGAACAUCUAGAAAGAAGCCAUAAACAAUGUACCUUACUUUACAUAUAUACACAUAUCCUCCUAUCCAAAAAAAUGAAUGACAUGUAUAUAAGACUGAACUACAAAAGAAAGGAAUUUGCCUAUAGUUAUGACAAAGCAAGUGGAAAAAUCACUUUGGAAAGGACCUCUUGUCAGCAAACAAAUAUCUUAUUAGCAGUACCUUUUAAUUAGCUAAAUGAAGAGAGCAACCAAUUACUCUGACCAUAAGUUUAUUUAUUUAACAUAUUUUAUUCAGAGCUAAUAAGCUCUACAGCUUCAUGGUGAAUUUUUAUUCAUUUUGGGGCACUUAUUCUGGCAUUAGACAUGAUUUCUCUGUAAAGAUAUACUGUCCUGAAUAUCGUUAUAUUACACAAAUACAGUUUGAUUAAAUCAUGGCUAAUAUUGGCUUGAAAAAGACCAGUCAUUAUUUUUCCACCACUAAUGUCUAU